rnacentral:rRNA from 1 species
GAUGAACGCUGGCGGCGUGCCUAAUACAUGCAAGUCGAGCGAACGGACGAUAAGCUUUCUUCUCUGAUGUUAGCGGCGGACGGGUGAGUAACACGUGGAUAACCUACCUAUAAUACUGGGAUAACUUCGGGAAACCGGAGCUAAUACCGGAGAAUAUUUUGAACCGCAUGGUUCAAAAGUGAAAGACGGUCUUGCUGUCACUUAUAGAUGGAUCCGCGCUGCAUUAGCUAGUUGGUAAGGUAACGGCUUACCAAGGCAACGAUGCAUAGCCGACCUGAGAGGGUGAUCGGCCACACUGGAACUGAGACACGGUCCAGACUCCUACGGGAGGCAGCAGUAGGGAAUAUUCCGCAAUGGGCGAAAGCCUGACGGAGCAACGCCGCGUGAGUGAUGAAGGUCUUCGGAUCGUAAAACUCUGUUAUUAGGGAAGAACAUAUGUGUAAGUAACUGUGCACAUCUUGACGGUACCUAAUCAGAAAGCCACGGCUAACUACGUG